GACGAACGCUGGCGGCGUGCCUAACACAUGCAAGUCGAGCGGAGAUAGGCGGAAGGUAACUGAAGCUUAUCUUAGCGGCGGACGGGUGAGUAACACGUGGGCAACCUGCCUUGAAGUGGGGGAUAACACCGGGAAAUCGGUGCUAAUACCGCAUAACAUACACAAACUGCAUGGUGAGUGUAUCAAAGGAGCAAUCCGCUUUAAGAUGGGCCCGCGGCUGAUUAGCUAGUUGGUAAGGUAACGGCUUACCAAGGCGACGAUCAGUAGCCGACCUGAGAGGGUGACCGGCCACACUGGAACUGAGACACGGUCCAGACUCCUACGGGAGGCAGCAGUGGGGAAUAUUGCACAAUGGGGGAAACCCUGAUGCAGCGAUGCCGCGUGGAGGAAGAAGGUUUUCGGAUUGUAAACUCCUGUCUUCAGGGACGAUAAUGACGGUACCUGAGGAGGAAGCACCGGCUAACUACGUG
rnacentral:rRNA from 1 species